AUUGAACGCUGGCGGCAUGCCUUACACAUGCAAGUCGAACGGCAGCACGGGUGCUUGCACCUGGUGGCGAGUGGCGAACGGGUGAGUAAUACAUCGGAACGUACCUUAUCGUGGGGGAUAACGCAGCGAAAGCUGUGCUAAUACCGCACACGCCCUGAGGGGGAAAGCGGGGGAUCGCAAGACCUCGCGCGAUUAGAGCGGCCGAUGCCUGAUUAGCUUGUUGGUGGGGUAAAAGCCCACCAAGGCGACGAUCAGUAUCUGGUCUGAGAGGACGCUCAGCCACACUGGGACUGAGACACGGCCCAGACUCCUACGGGAGGCAGCAGUGGGGAAUUUUGGACAAUGGGGGCAACCCUGAUCCAGCAAUGCCGCGUGAGUGAAGAAGGCCUUCGGGUUGUAAGGCUCUUUUGUCAGGGAAGAAACACCGGCUCUAACACAGUCCGGGAAUGACGGUACCUGAAGAAUAAGCACCGGCUAACUACGUGCCAGCCGCCGCCGUAA
rnacentral:rRNA from 1 species